GGUGUCACGUGACAGGGCGGAGCCUGAGGGGCCCGAGGCCUGCCCACGCUCGGUGGGAGCGCUCUCGGGUACGCCCGGCGCCCCCUUGCUGGCUCUGCUUAGAGGCUGGGUGUUCUCGGACUCUGGGAGGAGUGGGUGGGGCAGGCCCGGUGCAAACAGGUGAGUGGGUUAUUUCAUGAUUUAGUUGGGGGCAUGGGAAGCGCCAUCAGGGAGCUAGGAAAUACCGUCGGAUUCUAGUUGUUUCCUGGCCCUCGGUUUCCCUACCUUUAAAACAGCCGUGUCAGUUACCCUCCCUAUCCCCUAGUUACGGCGAAGGCAUGUUAUUAACCAACAUACCAUUAAAAUUAGUCCAGCGAGGCUUUGAGCAGGAGCUAAAAAAAAUAAUAAUAAAUAAAUGGUAUAAAAAUUUUUCAAAAGAGAUUUAAAAAAGAAAAAUGUCCGGCUUGGAUACUUGGUAUGGAAGAGCAAUCAGAGGCCAAUUUACUUUUUAAAACGGGGCAUCUUUGAGACUGGUAGAUUCCAUCUCAGCUGCUCCAUAAAUUCUAGGCCAGUCGGCAUCUUUUCAGCAAAUACAGUAAACACAACGUUCAGGCCAUUCAGUUUCUUCUGUGUCUCCUCAA
ensembl:lncRNA novel transcript